GGUGUAAGUGAAGGUCAAUUCAACCAUGUUCUCCUUCAUGAAAUGGAUGCCAUCAGAAAGGCUUGUGCUUCUUUGGAGGAGGGAUAUCUACCCCCAGUGACGUUUGUGGUUGUUCAGAAAAGGCAUCACACAAGGCUUUUCCCUGAGGUUCACGGAAGGCGUGAUAUGACUGAUAAAAGUGGAAACAUUCUUCUUGGAACUGUGGUUGACCAAAAGAUUUGCCACCCUACCGAGUUUGAUUUCUACUUGUGUAGUCAUGCUGGCAUUCAGGGAACAAGUCGCCCGACCCAUUACCAUGUGCUCUAUGAUGAGAACGAAUUAACUGCUGAUGCACUGCAGUCACUGACCAACAAUCUUUGCUACACGUAAGUUCAACUCUCCAAUCUCCUUCCAUCUCUGACUCUUUGAUUUGUCUAACAUCUCCCUACUUUUGCAUAGAUAGUUUUUCAUCCAAGGUCAAUCGCACUAUUUAAACAACUAAUCCAGCUUUGGUACGCAAUCGGUGAAUCUGUGUUGAUCACAAGGCUCAUGAUUUGUCUAUGUUUUGUCAAGUUCUAUAGAUGAAGGGACCCGUGGCUCACCAAGUCGUUCCCCGUUCCCUUUUCCCCUUCAGGAAACCAUGCUCAGCUCCCAAGUGGAAGGAAAUGACAGGAAGUGGCAUAUUUGCUGCUAGGGGCGAGACUGAAUGAGAUGAAUCUGCCAAUACUUUUGCAACUCCCAUUCGGAUGACUCCAAAGAAUUAUCAAGCACUACUUAUGUAGGUUGAUUUCUAUUCUAUUUUGUUCAGGCUUCAUAGCUGGCAACCCUUCUAUGUUGAAUUGUUGAUAUUAGGAGUAUAUUUACCUUUUCUUCAUAUAGUUUAACUUUUUUCAU